rnacentral:rRNA from 1 species
UAUUGCACAAUGGGCGAAAGCCUGGUGCAGCAACGCCGCGUGCGGGACGAAGGCCUUCGGGUCGUAAACCGCUUUUCUGAGGGACGAGACAGGACGGUACCUCAGGAAUAAGUCUCGGCUAACUACGUGCCAGCAGCCGCGGUAAAACGUAGGAGGCGAGCGUUAUCCGGAUUUACUGGGCGUAAAGCGCGCGCAGGCGGCUUGGUGAGUCGGACGUGAAAGCUCCUGGCUUAACUGGGAGAGGUCGUUCGAUACUGCCCGGCUUGAGGUUGGGAGAGGGGUGCGGAAUUCCCGGUGUAGUGGUGGAAUGCGUAGAUAUCGGGAGGAACACCAGUGGCGAAGGCGGCACCCUGGCCCACACCUGACGCUGAGGUGCGAAAGCGUGGGUAGCAAACAGGAUUAGAUACCCUGGUAGUCCACGCCGUAAACGAUGUCAACUAGGUGUCGGUAGUGUUACACUAGCGGUGCCGUAGCUAACGCGUUAAGUUGACCGCCUGGGGACUACGGCCGCAAAGCUA